CGAACGCUGGCGGCGUGCCUAACACAUGCAAGUCGUGCGAGAAACCCUCCUUCGGGAGGGGAGUACAGCGGCGCACGGGUGAGUAACGCGUAAGUUAUCUGCCCUUUGGUCUGGCAUAACUCCGGGAAACCGGGGCUAAUUCCAGAUGAUGUCGCAAGACCAAAGCCUUCGGGCGCCAAAGGAUGAGCUUGCGUCCCAUUAGCUAGUUGGUAGAGUAAUAGCCUACCAAGGCGACGAUGGGUAGCUGGUCUGAGAGGAUGAUCAGCCACAUUGGGACUGAGACACGGCCCAGACUCCUACGGGAGGCAGCAGUGAGGAAUAUUGCGCAAUGGACGAAAGUCUGACGCAGCAACGCCGCGUGCAGGAUGACGGCCCUCUGGGUUGUAAACUGCUGUAGCAGGGGAAUAACACCCGCCUUAGGCGGAUUGAAGGUACCCUGAAAGUAAGCUCCGGCUAACUACGUGCCAGCAGCCGCGGUAAUACGUAGGGAGCAAGCGUUGUCCGGAUUCACUGGGUGUAAAGGGUGCGCAGGCGGAUUGGUAAGUCAGGGGUGAAAUCUCACGGCUUAACCGUGAAAUUGCCUUUGAUACUGCCAAUCUUGAGUUCGGGAGAGGUCGAUGGAAUUCCAGGUGUAGCGGUGAAAUGCGUAGAUAUCUGGAAGAACACCAGUAGCGAANGCGGUCGACUGGCCCGUAACUGACGCUCANGCACGAAAGCGUGGGUAGCGAACAGGAUUAGAUACCCUGGUAGUCCACGCCCU
rnacentral:rRNA from 1 species